rnacentral:lncRNA from 1 species
AGAGACUUAUGUGAGACAAUUUAGAAAUAUGCUAGGCAAGUGUUCAAGUGGCCCAUUAAUAUAUGUGGGAAAGUGUUUGUCCUUGCAUGUCAAAUUAGCCAAAUUAAAGCAUAGUGGCUGGCCAUGCUAUGGGUGGAAACAUGUCACCAACAUGUUAUGCUAGUGAUGUAUGCUAAGAAAAAUAAAAUAAAGAGCAUGGUAAUUAAACAAUGAAAAGGAAGGGUGAU